rnacentral:piRNA from 1 species
UGAAAUAAAAUGUGUUAAACAGACUGAGC